rnacentral:tRNA from 1 species
GGCAGUGUGACUCAGUGGAAAGAGCACGGGCUUGGGAGUCAGAGGUCAUGGGUUCCAAUCCCCACUCUGCCA